GGGCAGGAGCAGGUGCAGCACAAAGGUGCAGCACAAAGACAGAGAUUUAGCAGUGAGUCUCUGUAACCUGCAGAAUUCUUCUCAAUCAGACAAAUCUGUUUUUCCAAGAUGCUCUUAUUAUAAUCAUUAAACACUUUAGAUCUGAAUGCAGUUCAACAUUAAAACUCUUCCAGUCAGUUUGGGUCAGGAUGAAGAAACAUCAGGAAAUGUUUUGGGUCAGAACUGCAGGAAUAGAUUUACAUGUUUAUAGAUAUUCAUUACAAGAACAGUUCAGAUUAAAUUUAUUGGUAAAAUCUCUAUGAUUUAGCAAAACGUCAUUACUGUCCAUUAAGUCAGAGACAAAUAAAAUACCUUUCUCAUACCAGUCAGUUUUAAAAAUAGAUUUUCUAUUUACCAAUAUCGAUCUAUUAUUGAUUUGUUAUUGAUCUGUUAUUCUACACUAUGGAUCCAUGUGGGGUAAAAGUACGGGCAAAUAUUUUCCAAAAAUGCAAAACUUGUUUGUGAAAAUUAGACAGCAAAAUAUGAGUCUUGGUUGAUUGUGAUCAAAAUCACAUUUGAGCAGAAAAUCCAGGCUUAUUAAAUAAAACUUUAUGAAACCACGUCGACAAAAAGAGACAAAUUUAUUCUAAAUCAGAGCCUCAACAUCUAACGCUCCAUUUCCUCCCUCAUCAUCAUAUUUCAUACGUUCAGAUCGUCUUAAAUGGUGAGUUUUGUUCCUCCACAUCUAAAGAUUAUUGAAUAUUGAAUCUUAAUAUUAUUGUCAGAGAUAAAAACAGAAUAAAUAGAUGAAUUAAUCUGGACUCUAUUUCCACUUUGGAUAGCAGUUUGUCCAAAAAUAUUCAGAUCUCAAACCACUGCAUCGACCAGCGGCUCCAAACAUCGUCCAGUGUUUCCCUCUGAUAGUUUUAUUUUCAGAUCAAUAUUCCAGAUAUUUUAAUGGAUGAGCAGAAUUCAUAUUUAUUAAUACUGAGAGACCAGAUGGGAAACAUUAAAAUGGAUUUCAGAGUUAUGUCUCCCAGAAUUUUAUCUCUUCGAAAAUUGUUGUAUUGUCAGCAGAUUGAUUUAUCUUGAAUUCCUUAUCAAAAGUUUUAACACCAUGCAAAUUAGAUUUUUUCAUAAUUAGUAAGUAAGCAUUUGAGUUGUUAAAAUAAAUAAUUGUGGUGAAAUUGGUCGGUUCUGCCCGAUUCCUCUUCGCAGAGAAACUGAGCUUCUUAUUAUAUCGCUAUAAAGUAAGCUGAUUAUAUUACACAACUUCUCCCCAACGGCAAAAUAUUUUAAGGUUUUUAUAAUAAAGCAAUGUUCCAACAAAUCAAAGGCCUUAAAGAAAUCCAGGAAUAAAAUAAAACUGUCGCUAUCAAUGAAACAAUCAAUCAUGUCAAAAAUCAGUCUAGUACGGUGGUGAUAUUUCUUCCCUUUGAUUGGCAUUCAUUAAUAAUCAUAAUAAUCCACUGCUUAAGCGAUUAG